rnacentral:sRNA from 1 species
CCUCCUCAUUGCCUUAAAAAGCAUCCAGUUUAAUUAAAAUAAGAUUUAAAAUGCUUAUAAGUAUUUAUGGGGGUUUUUUGUUUUUGUUUUUUGUUUUUUUGAGACAGUCUCGCGUGUCACCCAGGCUGGAGUGCAGUGGAACAGUCUUGGUUCACUGCAGCCUCAACCUCCUGUGCUCAAGCAAUCCUUCCUACUCAGCCCCCCAGUAGUUGGGACUACAGGUGCACACCAGCACGCCUGGCAAUUUUUGUGUGUUUUAUAGAGACAGGAUUUCACCAUGUUGCCCAGGGUAGUCUCAAACUCCUAGCCUCAAGCGAUCCUCCCACCUUGGGCUCCCAAAGUGCUGCAUUGCAGGCAUGAGCCACUGUGCUUGGCUCAAGAAGAAAGGAUAUUAUUUCUUUCUUUUUCUUUUGUUUUGGACGGAGUCUCGCUCUGUCGCCAGGUUGCAGUGAGCUGAGAUUGCGCCACUGCACUCCAGCCUGGGCGACAGAGCAAGACUCUGUCUCAAAAAAC